rnacentral:rRNA from 1 species
CAACAGGGAUUACCUCAGUAACGGCGAGUGAAGCGGUAACAGCUCAAAUUUGAAAGCUAGCUCUUUUAGGGUUCGCAUUGUAAUUUGUAGAAGAUGCUUCGGGUGUGGCCCCGGUCUAAGUUCCUUGGAACAGGACGUCAUAGAGGGUGAGAAUCCCGUAUGUGACUGGGUGCUUUCGCUCAUGUGAAGCUCUUUCGACGAGUCGAGUUGUUUGGGAAUGCAGCUCAAAAUGGGUGGUAAAUUUCAUCUAAAGCUAAAUAUUGGCCAGAGACCGAUAGCGCACAAGUAGAGUGAUCGAAAGAUGAAAAGCACUUUGGAAAGAGAGUUAAACAGUACGUGAAAUUGUUGAAAGGGAAGCGCUUGCAACCAGACUUGCGCGCUGAUGAUCAUCCGGGCUUCUGCCCGGUGCACUCGUCUGCGCUCAGGCCAGCAUCGGUUUCGGUGGUGGGAUAAAGGCCUUGGGAAUGUAGCUUCUUUCGGGGAGUGUUAUAGCCCUCGGUGCAAUGCCGCCUACCGGGACCGAGGACCGCGCUUCGGCUAGGAUGCUGGCGUAAUGGUUGUAAGCGACCCGUCUUGAAACACGGACCAAGGAGUCUAACAUCUAUGCGAGUGUUUGGGUGUCAAACCCAUACGCGUAAUGAAAGUGAACGGAGGUGAGAACCCUUAAGGGUGCAUCAUCGACCGAUCCUGAUGUCUUCGGAUGGAUUUGAGUAAGAGCAUAGCUGUUGGGACCCGAAAGAUGGUGAACUAUGCGUGAAUAGGGUGAAGCCAGAGGAAACUCUGGUGGAGCUCGCAGCGGUUCUGACGUGCAAUCGAUCGUCAAUUUGCGUAUAGGGGCGAAGACUAUCGAACAUCUA